rnacentral:lncRNA from 1 species
ACUUCUCACCAGAGUACUUCGUCUCCUGGUUCACUGAAUAUUUAUCUUAACUUUCAUCCUCCAUUCUACUAAGGUUAUAAUUCUUCACCAAAGUUCUUCGUCUACCGAAUAUCUAUCUUAACUUUCAUUAUCCAUUCUACUAAGGUUAUAACCUAGGUUUCACAUUCCUAACGUUUAUAACCUACAGCUUUGAUACCAACCUAUGGCGACCCCAAAUCCGGGUACUUGCAACCCGAACUCGGUUCUCCACGAUACCAUUUCUUUAAGCUGAAUAAUACUAAAUAAUAAUACAUUCGAACUUAAUUUACAUACAUCAAAGUUUACUUCCCCAGGUACGUGACCUUCAAAUACAUUCCUUACAAUAC